rnacentral:lncRNA from 1 species
CAUCGCAACUGUAGAUGCUCUUAAGCCUUGUGUAGGGGUACUAUUCCGGUUAUAACCCUGGGUCGACCCUAGGCCGGGCUUGGAAAGGCCCUACCUGAAGAUGUCACGCCCGGCCCCGGAUCAAAAGACGUUUUUGUAUUUAAAAAUAUAUUUGUCACAAAAGAAUUAAAAAUAUAUAGACAGUUUUUGGAAUCAAAUACUGCCAAUGUAUACUAAAUAAGACAUUUUUGCGGUUUAAGUUAAACUGCAAAUAAAAAUAAACGUCUUACAUUAGUUUACUCAUAGAGUAAUACUCACUUCGUUUUGAGUUAAGACAUUUAUUUUAAGACGGAUGGAGUAGAUGAUUAUACAUGUGUUUUCCGGAAGUUCCACCAAUCAUAUUGUUCUCCAUAUCUAUCAACGGUCUAUUCACCAUGUUAAUUAAGACAUCAUCUCUCUCUAUCACUUGCUCACGACUCGUGUGCGCUUGUUCUCUCUUUUUCACAUUGGGUCUUUUACUCUCGAUGCUAUGAAUAGAGUAGCGGCAAGAGCGCCCUAUUUAGGGUUGCUUUGAUUGAAAUGAGUUUCAUAAAACAGGAUCUAGAUCUUUAGAUGGGUUUUCCACAUGCGUCAUUCGAUUCACUGGAAUGCAAAUACUUAGGGAGAAUUCACAAGGAUUGUUUUGUGCGUUAUUUAGGAGGAAAAAAUUCAUCGCUCAAGCAUCCAUAUAACUCUUUUGUUUUUCUCAUGACAUCAAACACUUUUUUGAUCGAAAUUCAUGUGGUUUUCUAAUCCUGUAGGAUUCAAUAUGGCAUGCCAUUCUAGUCUCGUGCUUUUCUUAUUCCUACAUCUUGAAAAGUCUACAAAUCAAAUAGGCCUUAUAUAAGAGAUGAACGUAUGUUGCGAG